UAGGGAAUUUUCGGCAAUGGGCGAAAGCCUGACCGAGCAACGCCGCGUGAGUGAUGAAGGUUUUCGGAUUGUAAAGCUCUGUUGUAAGGGAAGAACGUCCGUGUGAAAAACAUGGAGUGACGGUACCUUACCAGAAAGCCACGGCUAACUACGUGCCAGCAGCCGCGGUAAUACGUAGGUGGCGAGCGUUAUCCGGAAUUAUUGGGCGUAAAGGGUGCGUAGGCGGCCUUUUAAGUUCAUGGUGAAAGCGUGGGGCUUAACCCCAUAUAGCCAUGGAUACUGGAAGGCUAGAGUACUGGAGAGGAAAGUGGAAUUCCAUGUGUAGCGGUAAAAUGCGUAGAUAUAUGGAGGAACACCAGUGGCGAAGGCGACUUUCUAGCCAGAAACUGACGCUGAUGCA
rnacentral:rRNA from 1 species